rnacentral:rRNA from 1 species
UACGUAGGGUGCGAGCGUUGCCCGGAUUUAUUGGGCGUAAAGGGCGCGUAGGCGGCUCGGCACGUCCGUUGUGAAAUCGCCCGGCUCAACUGGGCGGGGUCAGCGGAUACGGAGUGGCUGGAGCAAGCUAGGGGGCAAUGGAAUUCCCGGUGUAGUGGUGGAAUGCGUAGAUAUCGGGAGGAACACCAGUGGCGAAGGCGGUUGCCUGGAGCUUUGCUGACGCUGAUGCGCGAAAGCGUGGGGAGCGAUCCGG